CCCCGAUAUGUUGGUUCAAGCCUGUAGUCGUGCCUGGUAGGUAAAUCCGCCGGGCUUAGAUGAGGGGUGAUAACGAGGCUGCUUGCAGUCGAAGUGAGUGAUACCCUGCUUCCAGGAAAAGCCACUAAGCUUCAGCUACACACGACCGUACCGCAAACCGACACUGGUGCGCGAGAUGAGUAUUCUAAGGCGCUUGAGAGAACUCAGGAGAAGGAACUCGGCAAAUUGACACCGUAACUUCGGAAGAAGGUGUGCCUUUAGUAGGUGAACCUGUACAAGGGGAGCCCAAUGAGGUUGCAAAAAUCGGUGGCUGCGACUGUUUAAUAAAAACACAGCACUCUGCAAACACGAAAGUGGACGUAUAGGGUGUGACGCCUGCCCGAUGCUGGAAGAUUAAAUGAUGGGGUGCAAGCUCUUGAUUGAAGUCCCAGUAAACGGCGGCCGUAACAAUAACGGUCCUAAGGUAGCGAAAUUCCUUGUCGGGUAAGUUCCGACCUGCACGAAUGGCGUAACGAUGGCCACACUGUCUCCUCCUGAGACUCAGCGAAGUUGAAAUGUUUGUGAUGAUGCAAUCUCCCCGCGGAAAGACGGAAAGACCCCAUGAACCUUUACUGUAGCUUUGUAUUGGACUUUGAACAGAUCUGUGUAGGAUAGGUGGGAGGCUUUGAAGUGUGGUCGCUAGAUCGCAUGGAGCCAACGUUGAAAUACCACCCUGGUGUGUUUGAGGUUCUAACCUAGGCCCGUAAUCCGGGUCGGGGACAGUGCAUGGUAGGCAGUUUGACUGGGGCGGUCUCCUCCCAAAGCGUAACGGAGGAGUUCGAAGGUACGCUAGGUACGGUCGGACAUCGUGCUAAUAGUGCAAUGGCAUAAGCGUGCUUAACUGCGAGACUGACAAGUCGAGCAGAUGCGAAAGCAGGACAUAGUGAUCCGGUGGUUCUGUAUGGAAGGGCCAUCGCUCAACGGAUAAAAGGUACUCUGGGGAUAACAGGCUGAUACCGCCCAAGAGUUCAUAUCGACGGCGGUGUUUGGCACCUCGAUGUCGGCUCAUCUCAUCCUGGGGCUGUAGCCGGUCCCAAGGGUAUGGCUGUUCGCCAUUUAAAGAGGUACGUGAGCUGGGUUUAAAACGUCGUGAGACAGUUUGGUCCCUAUCUUCCGUGGGCGCUGCAGAUUUGAGGAAGCCUGCUCCUAGUACGAGAGGACCGGAGUGGACACACCUCUGGUGUAUCGGUUGUCACGCCAGUGGCAUUGCCGAGUAGCUAUGUGUGGAAGAGAUAACCGCUGAAAGCAUCUAAGCGGGAAACUCGUUUCAAGAUGAGAUCUGCCGGGGCCUUGAGCCCCCUAAAGAGUCGUUCAAGACCAGGACGUUGAUAGGUCGGGUGUGGAAGCGCAGUAAUGCGUUAAGCUAACCGAUACUAAUUGCUCGUGCGGCUUGACCAA
rnacentral:rRNA from 1 species